rnacentral:rRNA from 1 species
GGGUGGCACAAUACUUGUUCGAGCGAACAGUGGUAUGACGCUACGUCCGUUGGAUUAUGCCUGAWCGCCUCUAAGGUCGUAUCCAAGCUGGACUGCAAUGAUAAAAAUGGGGCAAUUGCAUUGUAUGGCUCUUAAACCAUUUAAAGUUUAUCUUUGAUAAACGACAAUGGAUUGUGAUGCCAAUGUUAUUUGUAACAUAGCAAGUGCAGGAGGAUAUUAUCACCUGUACGCCGCGCUAGUUACUUAUAAAAACAUUAUUUAAUACAAUGACAUAGCCUAGAAUCAAUUGUAAACGACUUUUGUAACGGGCAAGGUGUUGUAAGUGGUAGAGCAGCAG